rnacentral:rRNA from 1 species
UACAGAGGGGGCAAGCGUUGUUCGGAAUUACUGGGCGUAAAGGGCGCGUAGGCGGCCCGCUAAGUCGAACGUGAAAUCCCCGAGCUCAACUCGGGAACUGCGUCCGAUACUGGUGGGCUUGAAUCCGGGAGAGGGAUGCGGAAUUCCAGGUGUAGCGGUGAAAUGCGUAGAUAUCUGGAGGAACUCCGGUGGCGAAGGCGGCAUCCUGGACCGGCAUUGACGCUGAGGCGCGAAAGCUAGGGGAGCAAACGGG